CGGAGCCGAUCCCGGAGCCGAUCCCGGCGCGGAUCCCGGCGGUCCCGGUGCGGUGCCGGUGCCGCUCGCGGUGCGGGGCUCGGUCGCUCCCGCUGCGGGGCCGCCAUGGCGUGGCCCUGCAUCACCCGCGCCUGCUGCAUCGCCCGCUUCUGGAACCAGCUGGACAAGGCGGACAUCGCCGUCCCGCUCGUCUUCACCAAGUACUCGGAGGCCACCGAGCAUCCCCCCGCGGCCCCGCCGCGCCCCGCGGCCCCCAUCGAGACCCAGCCGGGCGGGGAGGCGGCGGCGGGCGGGGAGCCGGGUCCCGGUGCCGCCCGGCCCGGCCCGGCCCCGCACGCCUCGCCCCCGGCGGACUCGGUGAUGCGGCACGACUACAAGCCCUGGAAGGUGCAGCGGCCCGAGCCGAGCUGCAAGCCCAAGAGCGAGUACCAGCCCUCGGACACUCCCUUCGAGAAGGAGACGCAGUACCAGAAGGAUUUCCGUGCCUGGCCCAUCCCCAAGCGGGGCGACCACCCCUGGAUCCCCAAACCGGGCCCUUCGCCCGUGCUGGCCCUGGACCGCGCUUCCCCGGAGAAACCGGCGCAGGAGAAGCGGCGGAAGGUGCACAUCGCUCCCGAGAAGAAGGAGGAAGACCUCGAGGCGGAGGAUGAGCAUCCCAAAGCGGUGCGGGCCGGGGACGGGAGAGACAAGGGUCGGAAGAAGGCGGAGGAGGCGGGCGGGCAGCCGGCCGAGCCGGGCAGGGGCCGGGCGGCCGCCGAUGCUCUCAACAGGCAGAUCAAGGAGGAGGUGGCGGCGGGGGUCAGUUCGUCCUACAGGAACGAGUUCCGGCCCUGGAUAGACGUGAAGCCCGUGAAAGCGAUACGAGCCAAGCCCCAGUACAAACCACCAGAGGAGAAAAUGAUCCACGAAACCAGUUACAGCGCCCAGUUCAAGGGGGAAACCAGCAAGCCUUCUCCAGCUGACAACAAAUACCUGGAGCGCAGGAGGAUACGCACCCUCUACAGCGAGCCCUACAAAGAACCUCCCAAGGUGGAAAAGCCUAGCAUAAAGCCUUCCAAACCAAAAAAGACCACAACAAGCCAUAAACCCCUGAAAAAGGCCAAAGACAAGCAGAUUGCAUCUGGCCGGGCUGCCAAGAAAAAGAGCGCCGAGACCUCCAACACAGCAAAGCCAGAGGACAAGGAGAAAAGUAAAGAGAUGAACAAUAAACUGGCUGAGGCAAAAGACUGGGAAAUACUGUGAUGUUCGGACAUGGGCUUCAGCUCUGCCUGGUUCCAGCAGUGCCAUGGGUGCCCUGGGAACAGCUCCCUGAUCCUGACUGUCCUGUGGAGAAGAUGUGAGCAAAGGAUAAAAGAAAAUCCUGCUAAUGGGUUGAAGGCAUCUUUCUGCUUCCUAAAAGGCCAGCUCUCCCUGCAGGCAGUCUGCUCCAGGGAAGACAAGGACCAGCCAUCGGAAAAAUGAUGGAUGAGGAGCAGUGACAGACCUCAGUGACGUGUGAGAGCCCUGAGGAAUGAUAACUGUGCCUUCAGUGUGUUCAGUGGUGUGUGAGGUGGAAGGGGGAAGCAUUUCUGACCCCUCCCUGUUGUCCCCUGCCCACCCUAACCCAGCCUGUGGCAUGCAGCAGCCCCAAACCCCUGAGCAAAGCUGGGUCUUCUGUGUCUUCCUGGGGAGACCUGCAUGUCCUGCCUGGCUCUGGGAGAGGUCUGGAGAGCUGGGUCACAGCAGAGGGUGAGGAGCACCAGGCGUGGCACAGGGUGGAGGGGAUCCCACCACACAGUGGGUGGCUGAUGGGUCUGUCUUUAUCAGUUAAACAGCACUCAGGAGAACUUGGUGGUGCCAGGACCAGAUGGUCAGCAUAGAGAAAUCCUGAGAGUAGCCCCUGGCCUUUGGACUGAGCUGUUCCUUGGGCUGGUUCAGGAUUUAGGACCCAACUGAGACAAGCUCAGCUGUGGCCACCUUGUUUGGAGCCAGGGGAUUUGCCCAGAGAAGCUGUGGCUGCCCCUGGAUCCUUGGAAGUGUCCAAGGCCAGGUUAGAUGGGCUUGGAGCAAGUUGGGAUAGUGAGAGAUGUCCCUGCCCAUGGCAGGGGGUUUGGAUGAUCUUGAAAUCCUUCCAGACCAUUGUGUUGUUCUGUGGUUUGUCAGCAGGGACAUGAGCAAGGCACCUUUGAUUUCGUGACACAGGUCAUGCUUUGGAGCCAUAAGGACACUGAAUGUCCCUGCCCCCCUUGCCCCUGCUCCUGCCCCUCUGCCCAAGUUCCACUGCUGAUCACACACCUGUGUCCCUGCUGGCUCCUGUCCCUGCAGUGCCCUCACCCCGUCACAUCCCGUGUGCACACCAUGGUGCUGUUCCUUCUUGCCUUCAAAAUCAUUUCUACUCCCUCCUCCCUGCCUGUCUGUCCCACAACUGCUUCUUUGACCCCUUGCUUUCUCCCCUAAGCUACUUUCCCCUCCACACCAUCCUGAAUUCCCAGCUCCACCAGGGACCUUGUCCUUCCCAUUCCCCCCAGUGAGUGUCUCAUGUGCUGUCCUCCUGGACUGUGAGUCUUUCUCUCUGCCUGUACUGUGUGAUCUCACUCACUGCCUGGAAUAAACGAUACCUCACUCACCAACUGCCCCUUCUCUCUCUCUUUUCUUGGUGUGUGGCUUCACUGGCUGUGUCUGCAAGUGCAUCGUGUGCCUGUCCCUGUGGCCACUGGAGCAGUUGUUCUCACUGCUGCCUCUCUCCCCACAGUCCUUUGGGGUGACUCUGCUCGUGCUCUUGUCCUCUGGUGCCUUUGUUUCUCUCUUUUACAGCCCCAGGGACGAGCUCUGCUGGCAGCGCAGGAGCCCGGCACACUCAGAGCUGCAGCACCUCCUGUCCCUUGCCAUCCUGGUGCAUCUGAUAGAGUUGGCCUCCCUCCAGCUCCCUGCAGAGGUGUCCUGUGCUGCCAGGUGGCUCAACAAAUGCAGCAGGCGAGGAGAGUGAAGGAGAAAUCUGGUAGCCCAGAGCAGAAGCAGCUGAUGGUGAAGGAACGUCACUACUCUGGGACAGAAAACAGUGGGCACAAGUGUGUCAGUGCAAGCCCAAGCAGGACAAGCAGCAGAAGCUGGCUUGGCAUGUUCCAGAGAUGGAUGCCCAGGAGGUUUCUUCUGGCUCAGAAGGUGCCCUGAACAUUUGCUUCCUCCAUCCCAGGCCAGGACUGGACGUGCCACCGAGGUCCCCAGCUGACCUUAGGGGUCUACUGAAGUCUUCUGACAUCUAGAUUUGUGCCAGCAGAGCUCUGGAAGAGCUUCUCUAUCUGCUGCUCUGCAGGCAGACCUUGGUUUGAACUAUGAAGGGCCGAGCUCCUUGUUGCUCACCUCACACCUACAAUCAGCUCAGAGCUCACAACCAGGCACCUUCUCCUCCUUCAGACCUUGCUGGCCCCAAACUGGUGCAGGUUUCCAGGUCUCACCCCAGCUGUGCAAUGACAGCACCCCUUCUGGCUGCUGAGGUGCAGAGCAAGGCUGGAAUGCUGCCUUGCACCCUCCCAGCUCACUCUUCCCAAGGCUGUACCCCGGGCCAGACCUCUCUGUGCAGCCCUGCAGAGAAGCAGCCAGGGCUGCUCCUGCUCUGCAUCCUGUGGUGGCCCUGGAGAAAAUCAUGGAAUCACCUCCCCCUCACACUCCUUCCAGUUUGGAAUGAAGCUUUACUGGCACAGACAGUCAUGCAAUUAUCUGUAUUCAGUGCUUCAGAGUGGAUUUUUUGCCUUCAGAGUUCUAUUCUGAAAUGCAGGGCAGCAGCAAGUGCAGGAUUGGACACCAAGGGAGAGGUCCUGGCUCCUCUGGAUCCUGUUGAGCCUGGAUCAUCACACACACUGGCACAGGGCAGCUUGAGCAUCUUCCCCUAAUGCUCUGAUUUAUGGUGCUGGGUUCUCCUCAGUCCCACAGGAACUGGAAAGCUGAAAGAACUCAGCACAUUUCCUACCGACCUCUGCCAAACAGCUUCUGGCAGCAAAGAGCUCCUCGUGGUCAGCACAGAGGGCAGGGUAAGGGACCCCUGAGAAAAACCCUGGUGCUACAGAGCAAGAGCCAAGUACCUUAGUGCAGGAGCAACCCUCGUGAAGUCGGGAACUCGUCUGAGCAGCCGCUGGAGCACACGUAUAGUCUGCAUGAAACGUGCGCGGUCUGGUGGCCUCCAAUAAAGCCCGCGAGCAGAGCUCGGUGACACCUCCCCUUGUCUCUCAAGCACGUGGAGUUCCGUCACCGGGACCUGUGUGAUGAAGUGUAGCAUGUCUGUGCCUGGAUGUAAGUACAGUAAAGUCAGAGAAAGAAAAAUGGGUCUGGUUCUCCCUUUAUUUGUAGCUGUGGAACAGCACUUGGGUCUCUUACCGAUAUCUAAUCUAAAUCAACUCUCUUUCAGUUUGUACCCACUCCCCCUUGUCCUGUCACUCCAGUUCCUGUUGGGCAGCCCCCCUCUGGUUUCCCUGUAGCCCCUUCAGAACCUGGAGGGUGCUGUGAGGUCUCCACACAACGUUCUCUCCUCCAGGGUGAACAGUCCCAACCUUCUCAG